rnacentral:misc_RNA from 1 species
UUUUUUACGGCUAGAGCUGCUGCUCUGUACCAUGCAGACGCAGCCAUUGCUCCAGGAUCAGGAACUGAAGCAAUUAUAUCUGCCGACACAUACGAAGAUCUCCCAGCCUGUGCCUGCAUUUGUUUCGUCAUCUCUGCUCCACGGAUUGAAGCUUCUGACGAUUGAAGAAAAGCGUCCAAAGGAUCAGCCCCAGCAUCCAGCCUUUCUUUUAGAACAGUUGCUGCUGGAAUAAGAGCAUCCAACAUCGUGCGAUAUCCCGCUAUGGCACCACCAUAUUUGCUGACCGCUGCAAUGGAAGCAUGAAGAGCAUCGGCCCAUUGUUUCGAUGUGAUCACUGGAGUUUCUUUCAAUUUCG